rnacentral:rRNA from 1 species
GACGAACGCUGGCGGCGUGCUUAACACAUGCAAGUCGAACGGUAAGGCCCUUCGGGGUACACGAGUGGCGAACGGGUGAGUAACACGUGGGUGAACUGCCCUGCACUUCGGGAUAAGCCUGGGAAACUGGGCCUAAUACCGGAUAGGACCACUGCCUGCACGGGGGGUGGUGGAAAGCUUUUGCGGGGUUGGAUGGGCCCGCGGCCUAUCAGCUUGUUGGUGGGGUGAUGGCCUACCAAGGCGAAGACGGGUAGCCGGCCUGAGAGGGUGACCGGCCACACUGGGACUGAGAUACGGCCCAGACUCCUACGGGAGGCAGCAGUGGGGAAUAUUGCACAAUGGGCGCAAGCCUGAUGCAGCGACGCCGCGUGAGGGAUGACGGCCUUCGGGUUGUAAACCUCUUUCAGCACCGACGAAGCGCAAGUGACGGUAGGUGCAGAAGAAGGACCGGCCAACUACGUGCCAGCCGCCGCGGUAA